ACCUGAGGAGAAGUUCAGCUGGCGGUGACUCCAUGUUUCUUAUGAAAACACAGGCCCUAAUGCAGGAAAAUGGUUUUAAAAAUGUUUAUGGAAUAUUUCUUCAACCAUGACAUGCGAGGAGAUUCUUCAGACUCCUGUGGAACAAUGGGAUCCUCUGAAGUACGGCGAGUGAAGCUGUGACAGGAAGGAAGCCUUUUGCGGCAGAGAACAACAAAACAAAAAGCUCUGUCCUGUCAGCUCACCUCAGAUAAUCCAAUGCCAGUGACAGAGGGGGUGCACUGCUGUUUCCAGCAGAGUAGUUUUAACUGGCGUUUAGACCAGCCUGGGGAUCCAGAGGGGAGCUGAGGCCGAGCGUGGUGGGCUGCCGGAAGGAUGGUGCAUCUGAGCGUCAGAGGGUGAAGAAGGAUUGCCUUUCACGAAUUACGAGCCAUUAAAUCAGAGCCUGGAAAUCUCAAGGUUCCCCAAGACUGCUGCACAAGGAAUCUGGGCUGGAGAAAUAUUGUUUAUGGUUUAAAAGGCCUGGCGAUGGAUUUAUAAAAGAAACAUUCAUCAUUGCAGGAAAACGGAACAAAACA